rnacentral:rRNA from 1 species
CACGUAGGGUGCGAGCGUUGUCCGGAAUUAUUGGGCGUAAAGAGCGUGUAGGCGGCCAGAUAAGUCCGCUGUGAAAACUCGAGGCUCAACUUCGAGCUGUCGGUGGAAACUAUUUGGCUAGAGUCCGGAAGAGGAGAGUGGAAUUCCUGGUGUAGCGGUGAAAUGCGCAGAUAUCAGGAAGAACACCCGUGGCGAAGGCGGCUCUCUGGUACGGAACUGACGCUGAGACGCGAAAGCGUGGGGAGCGAACAGG